rnacentral:lncRNA from 1 species
CCUUUACCCACAGCACUGCCACCUCCCUCCACGACCCCUGUCUUUCUCUUCCCCAGAUUAAACGCUCCCACUUCUCUCCAUUCUUCUUUCUCCACCCCCAGGCCCAUUUCUGCCUCGGUUGCCUGCCUCCAACCACAAUCCAGUUUUUUGGCUCCCAGAGACAGACAUGCCCAGAUCUGAACACCACCCACCUGGGUAUGUUCUGCCAGUGUGCAAGGUGGGGCCCUCCAGGCCCUCUCCUCCCCUCCCUUUUUCUAGAUGCCAUUUCCUGCUAAAGCCACCUCUCCCAUGGCUAUAAACUACCUUCAAUCAGGGCACGAACUCUAGAGCACAAGAGAACCUGAGAUUCUUUAAAACAUUCUAGUUUAAUGUCCUCGUUUUACAGAUAAAGAAAAUGGGUACGGCCAAGACCAUAGACCUAGUGAUUGUCAGAUGAACAAUUAGACCCACAGAACCAUCCAAGCUACAGAGGACGCAUUCUGCCUUCCCUUGGAUCCUGUGGUUUGAGGAUGGAGGUCUAGGACCGUGGCAGGCUUUUUGUCCCAUGAGGGAAGGCCAUGGAGCUGAGGAAGGGGAAGAACACACACACCUAAUGGAAUCUCGAGAGAAAGUUCAGACAUCAAAAGACAGAAGCGACAGAGACCCAGAUGGAGUCUCACCCAGCCUGGAGUACAGUAGUAUGAUCU